rnacentral:rRNA from 1 species
UGAGGCUNGAAAGCGUGGGUAGCGAACAGGAUUAGAUACCCUGGUAGUNCACGCCGUAAACGAUGAGUGCUAGGUGUUAGGCCCUUUCCGGGGCUUAGUGCCGGAGCUAACGCAAUAAGCACUCCGCCUGGGGAGUACGACCGCAGGGUUGAAACUCAAAGGAAUUGACGGGGGCCCGCACAAGCGGUGGAGCAUGUGGUUUAAUUCGAAGCAACGCGAAGAACCUUACCAGGUCUUGACAUCCCGAUGCUAUUCUUAGAGAUAGGAAGUUACUUCGGUACAUCGGAGACAGGUGGUGCAUGGUUGUCGUCAGCUCGUGUCGUGAGAUGUUGGGUUAAGUCCCGCAACGAGCGCAACCCUUAUUGUUAGUUGCCAUCAUUAAGUUGGGCACUCUAGCGAGACUGCGGGUAAUAAACCGGAGGAAGGUGGGGAUGACGUCAAAUCAUCAUGCCCCUUAUGACCUGGGCUACACACGUGCUACAAUGGUCGGUACAACGAGUUGCGAGCCGGUGACGGCAAGCUAAUCUCUGAAAGCCGAUCUCAGUUCGGAUUGGAGGCUGCAACUCGCCUCCAUGAAGUCGGAAUCGCUAGUAAUCGCGGAUCAGCACGCCGCGGUGAAUACGUUCCCGGGCCUUGUACACACCGCCCGUCACACCACGAGAGUUUGUAACACCCGAAGUCGGUGAGGUAACCUUUUAGGGGCCAGCCGC